GGGUGGGGUGUGUGUUUGUGUUGGGGGACUUCUUUGUGUGUUAUCCAACUUGAUUGUGGGACUCUGCUUUUGUAGUUUUUUUUCCCUUGCUUGCAGUUGCAUUUUGUUUUUUUGUGCGUGCGUGUGUGUGUAGGAUUCCUUAUCGUAAGAAGAAAGAAAAAAAAAUCAUGUUAGGGUUCUUGUUAAUAUUUCAUCGUGCAUAUGAGUAAAGAUCCUAGCUUUUUAUGUGAGGUUUGACCUUAUUUUCUGCUGUGUUUUGUUAUUAUUUUCUGGUGGAUCUGUUUUUAUGGGAGUCUUAUGAAUUCGACUUAACUCAACCUCUAUCACACUCCAGUUGGGGUAUGUGGAUCUUUAUUCUCUAUUCAGCUCUAUAUAGCGCCAUAUUUUCUUCUAUCAGUUGAGAUAUUAAAUUCUUCUUCACCUUUCCAAUCAAAAUUUUUUUAGGUCCACCUCUUCUCUUCUUGAAUCUGCUUCUUUCUCAGCACUAAUGCAUCUGUAGGAUAUUUUGGAUUUUCUAACCAUCUCAGUCUUCUUUCCCUCAACUUGUUUUCUCAUGCCACAUCCUCGUAUUUAUGGCAUUUAUGCCUUUUGAUAAUGAUUGUGAUUAAUUUACAUUUUUCUAUGCCUAGUUAUGUAUGUCAUUAGAUUUAUGUACAUAUUUAUCAUCAAGCUCUUUGUUGUUCUAGACCUUCCACCUCAUGCAGUCAUUGGAAUGCCAGCUUUAUCUCCUACAAUGGUAAGAUGUGUAGGGAUGGUAUAAUAUCAAACAAUUCUCUCUCUUCUCUUAGGGGUUUAUUCUCUUCUGCUAGAAGUCAUGUUUUUAUUCAUUUUAUUUUGUGCAGACUCAAGGUAACAUAGCAAAAUGGAGGAAGAAAGAAGGAGAUAAGAUAGAAGUGGGCGAUGUACUGUGUGAAAUAGAGACAGAUAAAGCUACACUUGAGUUUGAAAGUCUUGAAGAAGGGUUUUUGGCCAAAAUACUGGCACCUGAAGGUUCAAAGGAUAUUCCUGUAGGACAACCCAUCGCAAUAACGGUUGAGGAUGCAGAUGAUAUCCAAAAUGUCCCAGCAACUGCCAGCAGUGGAGCACAGGUUGAAGAGGAAAAAUCAUCUGACAAGGAUUCCAAUAGUGAAGACAAAGGAACCACCUCUAUUAAGCUCAACACGUCUGAACUUCCUCCUCACAUUGUUCUUGGAAUGCCAGCAUUAUCACCAACAAUGAACCAAGGUAAUAUUGCCAAGUGGAGAAAAAAAGAAGGAGACAAGAUAGAAAUGGGUGAAGUCAUAUGUGAGAUAGAGACAGACAAGGCCACCCUUGAAUUUGAAAGUCUUGAAGAGGGGUAUUUGGCUAAGAUACUGGCACCAGACGGUUCAAAGGAUGUGGCAGUGGGACAACCAAUUGCAGUCACGGUUGAAAAUCCAGAUGAUAUUGAAACUGUAAAGACUAAUUUUAGUGGUAGCAUGGAGGUGAAGGAAGAAAUAUUGACCCAUCGUGACUCAAAGGAUGAUGGUAGAGAAGAAAAGACAAGUUUUACAAGGAUUAGCCCCUCUGCUAAGUUGCUGAUUUCAGAGUAUGGAUUGGAUGCAUCAUCAUUAAAGGCAUCUGGUCAUCAUGGCACUCUUCUAAAGAGUGAUGUUUGGGCUGCAAUUAAGUCAGGAAAGGGAUCUUCAAGAAAAUCUACACCUAAGGAUAAAGCAGCUCCAUCUCAAAAAGGCUCACAAGCUUCAACCACAGCUUUACCAGAAUCUCACCCACAGCGGUCAGAUUCUUUUGAAGAUUUGCCAAAUACUCAAAUUCGCAAGGUCAUAGCAAGAAGGUUAUUGGAAUCAAAACAAACUACACCACAUUUGUAUUUAUCAACAGAUGUUAUACUGGAUCCUCUUCUUUCUUUCAGAAAGGAGCUCAAAGAGCAACAUGAUAUUAAGGUGUCAGUAAAUGACAUAGUCAUCAAAGCUGUUGCAAUUGCUCUGCGAAAUGUACCAGAAGCUAAUGCGUAUUGGGAUGCUGAGAAAGGAGAAAUCAUUUUGUGUGAUUCUGUAGACAUAUCAAUUGCAGUUGCUACUGAGAAGGGCCUAAUGACUCCUAUUGUUAGGAAUGCGGACCAGAAGUCCAUUACAUCUAUCUCCUCAGAGGUUAAGCAACUAGCUGAGAAAGCUCGGGCAGGGAAGCUUGCUCCAAAUGAGUUUCAAGGAGGGACGUUCAGCAUUUCGAACCUGGGAAUGUAUCCAGUGGACCAAUUUGCUGCAAUUAUAAAUCCCCCUCAGGCUGGCAUCCUAGCUGUUGGUAGAGGGAAUAAAGUUGUUGAACCAGUACUUGGAAGUGAUGGAACUGAGAGGCCUGCAGUGGUCAACAAAAUGAACUUGACAUUAUCUGCUGAUCAUCGUGUUUUUGAUGGCAAAGUUGGAGGUCUGUGAUGUUGUAAAAUUGCUUUAUUUGAAAUGGGGAGGUAUUCUUAAAAUUGUCAGUUUUUUAUCUGGUGGAUAAUGUCUUGGUGUUUGAUUCCUUUUGGGUCAGAUUCCUGCUUCCUUAGGCUAGUGAUUUAUGGGAUUUCAGUCCACGAGGUUGUCAUUAAUCAUUAUACAGGCAGGGCUUCUACUUAAGUGCCCCUAGCUUAGUUAAUUGGACAAGGUUUUCAAUACACAUUUGAGGUUAUGCAGUUACGCAAUGUGUAGGGUGCAACAAACUCUGGAGAAUUAUUGAGCCUUGGUGACCUUGCCUGCCAGUUAACUUUACUUGUUGAGAAGGAAUGAUAUUUUUCUUCUUGCCCACAGGGUUAUUUUUCCAGUUUGUUUUUGAAGUUUAUCUCAAGGUGUUAAGUAGCGAUUUGAUUGGUGCUGCUGCAUGGGGCAUCAUCAUAACAAAAGUUCACUUUGACCUAUGAUUUUGAAUUUUGCUUUUAUUAAUUUUAAAGCUAUUCUCUUUGCAGGUGCAUUUCUCACAGCUUUGCGUUCCAACUUCAGUGAUAUCAGGAGACUUCUUCUAUGAGGCCCUCAAACUACAAAUGGGUUUCAAAAAAUAAGACUCGACAGAGCACGUUAUGCGAGAGCAGCAGCUAGCUAGGAAAUUUGUUCAAGGGAUAUUUUUCACCAAUACAAUUGUUUGUGAUGUGCCAUUUUUACAAAAUUUUGCCAUUCAUUGAACUCGUCCUGUUAAUAGUUAGAAUUUAGAGCUGAUGUUCAGGUGCUGAUUCAGGCAAGUUUUUUGCCAUAUGUGAAGAUCAUGCAACAGUUUGAGGUUUAUUUCAAUAAGAAAAAUUGCAAUGUAUGAGCAAAUUAUGGAAAAUAUACACUGCUUCUUGAUAAAUUGCCCUGCAGUUUUAUACCAGAAUGUUGACAGCACAUGAUCUGUUAAUGGAUUAUUAACUAUUUAGACCAAUUUAUUACCA
rnacentral:misc_RNA from 1 species